AUAGCACCUGAGUGUCAAGGAACCUGGAGGGUACUGAGCCACAAAACCAGCAACCUGAACAACAUCUUCUUGAUCUGCCUCUAAUCUCUUGACAAACGUUGGAGGUUGAAAGUAAGAGUGGAGAGAGGUAGCUCCUGCUUCUGCAUCAUGAAGGAAGUUGCACUUGUUCCCGCAGAAACAGGAUAUCAUUGACCACAUCUGACAAGACAACACAGCAAGGAAAUGGAGCACCUUCGGGACUGCAAAGAGAAUC
rnacentral:lncRNA from 1 species